GCGCGAGUGCGCGUGCGCGAGCGGCGGGGCUUUCUCCGGAGCCGUCGGAGGGAGCCGGAGCGCUUCUCCCGAGAUCGCUUAGCUGUGGUCCAGCAUGCAGAAGUGAGCGUGUGGUGAAAGGCAGCAGACCCAAUGGGUUGCGAGGAUGUAAGAGUGUUUGAAGGCUUCCACACCCUCUCCUCCAGGAAUCAUGAAUAAACUGGAGGACAAGCAGGACCAGAUGAUACCAUGAAGAGAAGUUUACAGGCCCUCUAUUGCCAACUGUUAACCUCCGCAUUCCCCAGAACCCCCUCCUGUUAACAGAGUCAGAGGCCAUCAGAACCCGUUCUCUCUCCUGAUGACAACAAGCCGUCCCCUGAAUGUUGAGGACCGUGUUAUCUCAUCAGAGGCUGCCUUGACCUUUUCAUCCAUCUGAUUCCAACUCUCACUGUGUCUGUUGAGUCUUCGAGGGACCCUUUUGCUUGCUGAGACUGUGUUCUGGGAAGCAGUUCCCAGUGGAGUCAUGGACCUCAUCAGUCUGGCUGUUGAACCCGUGAUCUCCGGACAUUUCUGGAAGCCACCAGGCUUUCUCCUAACCUUGGCACUGACCAAAGCACUGGUACUCGCCGUCCAGGGACCAUCUCCCA
rnacentral:lncRNA from 1 species